CAAAGUGCUUACAGUGCAGGUAGUACUAUGUAACACCUACUGCAAUGGAGGCACUUACAGC
rnacentral:pre_miRNA from 1 species